CUCCUUUGACGUUAGCGGCGGACGGGUGAGUAACACGUGGGUAACCUACCUAUAAGACUGGGAUAACUUCGGGAAACCGGAGCUAAUACCGGAUAAUAUUUCGAACCGCAUGGUUCGAUAGUGAAAGAUGGUUUUGCUAUCACUUAUAGAUGGACCCGCGCCGUAUUAGCUAGUUGGUAAGGUAACGGCUUACCAAGGCGACGAUACGUAGCCUACCUGAGGGGGUGAUCGGCCACACUGGAACUGAGACACGGUCCAGACUCCUACGGGAGGCAGCAGAC
rnacentral:rRNA from 1 species